UACGGAGGGGCUAGCGUUGUUCGGAAUUACUGGGCGUAAAGCGCACGUAGGCGGCUUUGUAAGUUAGAGGUGAAAGCCCAGGGCUUAACCCUGGAAUUGCCUUUAAGACUGCAUCGCUAGAAUCGUGGAGAGGUGAGUGGAAUUCCGAGUGUAGAGGUGAAAUUCGUAGAUAUUCGGAAGAACACCAGUGGCGAAGCGACUCACUGACACGUAUUGACGCUGAGUGCGAAGCGUGGAGCAACAGG
rnacentral:rRNA from 1 species